AUGCCAGGCUGAGAUCUGGCCUCAAGCCACUCACAGGUAGGAGAACAGACUAAUUCUAAAUGAAAGAUUGGUGGUUAAGCAAGAGAACAUCUGUUUCAUUUACAUAUUGCCAUUUGUCAUUCACGUAUCUAUAGUCACAUUUGGUAAGCUGGCAUCUAGUUCAGUUAUAUUUACAUUCCCCUCAGUUCUUUGGAUACUACAACUAUUGAACUCAGGUAUUGGACAACUUGAAACAACUAAAUCUGAUCAUCUAACUAGCCAUUCAUCAACGUCAUAGGCCAUGACACUUGGAUUGAAUUGCCAGACCAGUCCAAUAUUGCAAGUGUUUAUUGGGCUUUUUCAUUGUUUUAGGUACUAGGGAUAUUUGGUAACCACCCUCCAAUGGUUCCUGACUCCUGGUGUUCACACCUUAUAUAAUCCACUCUUAGGACCCAUUUGUGUGACCAAUAGAGUGUAACAGGCAGCUUCUUUAUGGUCACACACUCUCUUUUUUUGUUUUCUUAGUUUUCUCACUCUGAAGAAGCCAUGUGGUGAGCAGCCAUAGAGUGGGGGUAUGUGUAGAAAUGGACAGAUGCCUCUUUUCAACAAUCACAGUUAAGUGAGCUGGGAAGCAGAUCUUAUAAUCCCCAUGAAGUCCUCAAAAGUUGUAGUCCUAGCUGCUAGCAUACUACAACCUCAUGAGAAACCUUGAACCAGAAGAGUUACUCCCAGUUUUCAAACCAUCAGAAACUGAGAAAUAACUAGUUUUAGAUGCUAAGUUUUGGGGUAAUUUAUUAUACCCUUGAGAAUCUUAUGAUUUGGUCACACAAACAUUGAUUAUUUGGCUGUUUCCUAAAGAGGAAUGUCUCCAAUUUGAAUAUUAUCUGGUAAACAAGAUGUACAAUGACUGAAGAAGUCAUGUGUUUGAAGGUCACCUGUGUUAAAAAAAAUGGAAGUAGAUCUAUAUGCACUCUUAUGAAAAAACUGCUGGGACAUAUUGAGUGAAAAAAAAAGUUUUAUAAUAUGAUUUUAGUUCUAUUUUUUUAAGUAUCUUCAGUUUUUCACUGUUGUCAAUGAAAGAAAAAUUCACCAGGGCUGGAACAUCUGACAGGCCAAUUCAUAAUCUCCAAAUCACUUUCACAUUGAGUAAUUUUCACUAACUUACCAUUGCCAGUCUUUGAAAUUCUCAGGUUUAUUUAUACCUUAAAACUCAACAUUUACAAAUUAAUGCACCUGUUUAACACUAUUCAAAAUCAUUUUUAGGCAAAACAAUUAUUUUAGGAAUUAUAGGAAGUAAUAAUAUGGUUAAUAAAUAAAUGACAUAAUGUAGCCAUACGAAACAUAACAACAUUCCUUUUUCCCCUGACCACAUCCACAGGCUGAUUUCCAUCACCAUAGAAAUUAGGAAAUGGAAUCAUAUUUUUGAGGUUUAUGCAGAUUGUAUUAGUAAUUUAUUCUCAUCAUGAAGUGAUAUUCCAUUGUUUGACUACAUGACAGUUUUCUUCUUCACUCACUUUUGGGUAACAUUUAGAUUGUUUCCACUUGUUGGCUAUCGUAACUAUGACUACUAUAAAUAUCAUUACAUAAGCAUUUUGUGGGAUAUGAUUUUAUUUCUGUUUUUCUAGAUCACAGGGUAGAUGUAUGUUGAACUUUAAAGGAACUACAAAACAAUUUUUCUCAAUGUUUGAGCCAUUUCACAGCCUCACCAAAAAUGCAGGAGAGUUCCUGUUGCUUUACAUCUUCAUUAACGUGCUGGUGUUAGUGUAUUUAAUUUUAGCCUGUAUACAACAGUAUCUUAUGACAACUAAUGGUAUUGAGCAUCUUUUCUUGUGUGUCAAUUUUAUAUCUGAAAAAUGAUGAUCUAAGCCCUUGUGAACUUAAAAAACUGAAAGUUUGCAGUUUUUUACAGGUGUCUUCUAGUUAUUCCUUCCAUAUGCAGAUGGUACCUCACAGAUUUCCUUAAACAAAUUUAUCAUUGUGAGUCAAACUUUCCCUCUGUUGCUCAGCCUCCUCCUUCACUUCAAGAUUCCUUAAGUCCCCUGUAUGAGUCCUGUGCCUAUAAAUGGGGCAGGUAGGUGGGCGUGGGAGGGUGAGGUGUGAGUGCAUCAUCCUUUGCCUGGUUACUGGAAUAUGCACCAUCUCCCUGGUAAUAAGAGAAACCAAAGCACACUGCAGUUUCCACUGUACCUGAAUGGACUUCAGCUUCCUCAUUUUUCCUUCUUUAUUUCCCUAAUGACUAGGUUACUUCUCAUUACCACUCCCAACUUAAUUUGCAUGAUCACAUUAUAUGUAUGACAAUUUGAUUAUUUUUUUAAAAAUUAUUUUUUAGUUGUGAAAGGACACAAUACCUUUAUUUAUCUUUAUGUGGUGCUAAGGAUGGAACACAGUGCCUCACAUGUGCCAAGCGACCACUUUAACCCUGAGCCACAACCCCAGUCCCUCAUUAGUUUUUCUUCUACUUUUUUUGAAAGGCAAAUUAAAAUUAAUGUUAGGAAGAUUCUUCUUAAAAGCCAAAAGUCACUUAGAAUGAAUUGUAACCCUCCAAAAUGGGCAUGUAUCUGAUUACAAAGACCUCUGUGCAAAGAAAAAAAGAAGUCUUAAUCUUUUUGGAUUUAGUUUUAAUGACUCUACAAAUGAGACUUCUAUUAUUUCCUGUAGUGGAAAUAUCUGGUAACAGGAAAUGAGAUUGAAGAUAACUAAUUCAACUUUAUGUAGUCAAAAAAUAAUACCUACAAAAUCAGAAGCACCCUGAAGUCAGGGACAGAUUGUUUUUUUCUCUGUAUCCCUUGAUGCUUGGCCCAGUGCCUGCAACCUAAAAGAGUUAUGGAAAAUGCUUGCUGAAUUCAAUCUUAUUAAUUUUAUUCUUAUAGGAUUAUCUUCCUACCCUACAUUAAAAAAAUUAUAAUUCAGCAGUUUUCUAACUUUCUAGAGUUUUGGUAUCGAGUGUCUAUUUUUUUUUCCCUUGCAGGCAAAGUAAAUAAUGAUCUAAGUUUAAGUUGUACACAUUUUCAAAUAAUUGAGAUUUUUAAGUCAAAUAUAGAUUUGGACAUGGAUAUUAUUUUAUUUAUAUGUAAAAUGUGUUUUGAUUAUUCUAAGCUAUUUUUUAGAAUAGAGACAUUUAAGAUGACAUGGAAUACGUAUAUAUAAAGUGCUCAUCAACACUAAAGGCUCUGGGAGCUGUUUUUACUGUUAUCCUUCCAGAUCUUUUGCUAUGCAUUUAUGCAUUUAAAAUCAGUUAUACUGUGCAUAUUGAUUUGCAAUGUGUUUUUCACUCAAAAUAUGACAGAUAUAUUAAAGAUAAUCACAUGGUAAAUCUAUUUUUUGGACAUGCCAAAAUAUAUUUAAACUAACAAUUUUUUCUAAUUUUUUAAUAUUUUAAAUAAUUUGAGCUAAUACUUAGUUGGAUUUCUUUUUUACUGAAUUAAUUUCUAUAUUUAGAACAAUAGAUUUUUUUAUUGUUUCCUUGUCUUUAUUCUACCUUUGACUUAGUGACAAGAAUUUUCAUUUUUUAGUGGGAGUUUUCAGAAUCUGAUUCUGCAAUGCUACUACUUUAUAGAGUCUUGAAGUAGGCAGAUGAGAAUUUUACAAAUGAAAACUACCAGCCUGAGACCCAGCAGCUAAAUUUUCCCAGUUCAUCUCCUACUUCUCUGCUUCUAUUGGUGCUGAACUCCCUCUCCUCUUCUACCUUCUCUCUUGAGCUCACCUCCUGUCUUGUCUCUGAUUAGGAAACUGGCCUGGCUGUCACAUCGCGUGCCUCACAAUGGGGCUGGGUUGUCAUCCAUCACUGCCCACACUUGGCUGCUAGUUCAGCCAUGAAAUGGUCUACCUCCAGAGUGAGCUGGACCAAAAUCACUGGGAGGACUCCUUUCCCUGGUUCUUUUUGGCUUAAAAAGAAGUAUUAGCCAAGAAAAGGGAAGGUAUGCCUUCAGAGAGGAGAAGAAACCACAGCAAUGGAGACCUCCGACUCAGAGCUGCCUGGUGGAGGAGGGGACUCAAUAUAUCUUUCAGCACUUUGGAAACUGGAAAGUACCCAGAAGCAGAACCUCAAGGAGAUAAGAAUAAACAGGAAAAGCUGACACUGAGUCCCCAGAGUCCUGAGCAGCCCUGAAAGGAAAAGCAAAGGGAUUCUUACAUCUUCGAUGUCAGUGGAAUCAUUUCAUCUGGGCCACUAAGUUUGCCAAACUUGCUUGAUUUUAUAAAUUACACCGGGGUGCUGAUUUUCCUAGUCUUCAAUAAAGGUGUUUCCCUCAUGGAAGUCUACAAAGCACCUGAAAGCAGGCAAGAUAUUUCCAUGCACCCACUUUCUCUGACUUCCAAUUUGUUUUCAUGUCCUGUGUCAUACUUUUAG